rnacentral:lncRNA from 1 species
AUUGAUUUACCUCACAUGUAGGAGGCAAAGAUGCCUGUAUAAAAGCAAUCUCUUCUUCAGUAAAUUUAAAGUAUAUUCACCGCCAAAAGGGUUUUUCCGGAAAUAUAAAUCAAACCUGAAACAUAUUAGAGGUUAUGAAUACGAAAAUAAUCAGCUCCAAAAUUUUAAAGCAUACAAUUAACACAAGUAGAGUCUUGGAAACAAAUCAUGAUGAACAUUCACUUCCAAGCUGCCAAUAUUAGCACCACCUAUCACUCAACAAUCAGUUAGGACAAACUGAAUAGAUAGUCACUCCUGUCAAUAUUCACACAUGUUGACCUUAAUUAUCUCUUGACAAUAUUCACUCCUGUCAAUCACUCAAUUAUAGGGAUUAUGUAUAACCCUUGAUCUUAGCUACAGUCUGUUAUCACACAUGUAUAUAUAGCCAACGUCCUUUGUAAUAAUAAAAAUAUAGUAAUUCAAUAUACAAUUCUAUGUGAAUUAUUCUGGUAUCAGAGCCAUUCCCGAUCCCCUGUUUUUUCUUCUUCUCCCCCCCAACCCCAAUGUCUUCCAUUGAUUCCGGCUCCCUCACUUCUGCAGUCCUCCCUACCUCCCCUUCACCUUCUGUCCUUCUCUCUCACGCCCAUCACUAUAUCACGUUAAAGCUAACUCCCUCCAACUACCUCCUCUGGCGUACCCAAAUCGACCCAUAUCUGCAAGGCCAACAGCUGUUUGGCUAUGUUACCGGUGAGUUUGCCCGCCCUCCGUCCUUUCUGCCCUCUAGCUCUCCCUCUGCCGAUUCUGCUACAUCUUCUACUCCCAAUCCCGCGGCCCAACUCUGGGAUGCCCAGGACAAAUUUCUCAUGAGUCUGCUUAUCUCUUCCCUCAGUGAAGACGUGAUACCGCUUGUCAUUGGCCUUACCUCCUCUGCUGCAAUAUGGUCAGCUCUCUCUGCUGCGUUUGCUAGUCCGUCUCAUACGCGUAUGUUGCACCUCUCUAUGGAACUCCACUCUCCACAAAAACAUGAUGAAUCUCUCACUGCCUACCUCUAUCGUCUGAAACGUAUUUCCGAUGAACUAGCAGCCUCUUCCCGCCCCAUCUCCCCGUUUGACUUUAUGGUUGCUGUUUUAAAGGGCCUUCGUGCAGAAUUUGCGUCCCUCACAUCCUCUCUCUCUAUGCUUGAUCAACCUUUGUCGUUCUCUGCGUUGCUUGGCAAGUGUCUCAGCCAUGAGUUUCUCUCCGCACCUUCUCUCCUAGAUUCCUCUUCUGCUCUCCCACCUUCGGCCAAUACAGUUCAGCUCCUCCACAGCCCUGCUCACCGUUUCCUUAAUCAACGUGGUCGAGGUAGGGGCACUCGUGGUCGUGGGCGCGGCACCUUUCGUCCACCUCACUCUCAGUCUUCCUUCAAUACCCAGCGUUCACGUUGUGUCUUCUGCGGUGGAUCCAACCAUCAAUCCUAUCGCUGUUACUAUCGUCCUCACCCAACCCCGUCUGAUGGCCUACUUGGGCCUCCUCCCAGCCCCCCUACUCCGGUUGCGCACUACGCUGCUACCACUCCCGACACCACCAUGCCGCCCUCUCUCCAAUGGUACCCUGACACAGGGGCCAACUACCAUGUCACACCCGACUUAGCAGGUAUUAAUCAUGUUGAUGACUAUACUGGCUCGGAUCACCUUCAAGUCGCCAACGGUAAUCUUGCCCCUAUCCAUAAUAUCUGUUCCACUACCUUUAAUUCCAACAAUAAAAUAUAUAAUCUUUCUCCUAUCUUGCACGUUCCCUCUGCUUCGAAACGCUUGCUAUCUGUCAAUAAGUUUUGUCAAGACAAUAAUGUAUACUUUGAAUUUCAAAAGGCUUUAUCAAAAGGAUGACCAUAUAUGAUCAACAAAACAAUUUGGUUAAUUAAAACUUAAAACAAUACCAUUUCGCCCAUUUAACUCUUUCAUCAUUAUCAAUUCUCAAAUAGGUAACUGCUUGACUUAAACAAAUCUAAAUCUAUUCCCAACUAUAAAUAUAGUUAAAGAACCUUAAUCAGUUUUGAGGGUGGAAACUAAGCUUUAUUAUUCAAUUCAACUUUUCUAACAUACUGGAUCGUCAAAACAGAAAUUACAGUUUAUCUUCUCAUAUAUCUUACCUUUACUUGGAAAUCAGCAACUCUUUAUAGUAAAACUAUGAGAUAUCUAAGCUAAAGCUUCCACAAAAUUCUUAGGGAAAGAAAAACUGAUUUGCAGGCAAAUUUCCCAAAUAAACAACCCUAUACCAAUUGAAUUGUCCAUCCUAACCAGUUUGAUGGCAUGCAUAGUCAUGUUUAAUAAUCAAAACUGUAUGCCAAUCAAAUUUACUAUAAUGUAUAAUCCACUCAGCAUAUUUUACAGAUAUGGGUUUGGAGAAGCUUACUCACUCCAAACCAGAAGUCACAGAGAUAGCAGAAUCAAAAAGAUCAGAUCCAAAAGGCCCAACUCUUGCUUUCUCUACCCGUGAUCCAUCAUUUGCAAUCCAGUCUAAUAGCACCCUUUUGCUUUGCCAAUUAGCUGUAUUUUGCUUGCCAAUUUACCCAAUUCGCAUACUGAGUAUUACCUUUGUUACCUUGCUCAAUUCGCAGACUGUAGCAUUCGUCGAUUUGCUGUAGGUUCUAGCCAAUUUACCCAAUUCGCAGACUCGUAUUACCUUUGUUACAGACUGUAGCAUUCGCCGAUUAGCCAAUUUCUCCAAUACGAGCCAAUUCGCAGACUCGUAUUACCUUUGUUACCUUUUCCCGUGGAUUUUGAGUUAAUAUCCGUCCGCUAGUAUGCUAGCACAUUGUUUCUGCUGUCUUGGCUUAGUAGGAGGGAAUAAGCGUCUUAAUAUUUGGUUAAUCACGUCCGCUAGACAGUCCUCAAUCAGAUCUCACCCAUUCAUUAAUUACAUGGAUGGUAUAGAUACUAUAUGCCACUUUUUAAAUCAUAAUAAAUAGAUGCUAUAUAUAUAUAUAUAUAUAUAUAUACUCUUGGUAGAAUAUGUGCAAGCUACUUCCCAAACUAGGUGUAUUAAUUGAAAAGAAAAAAAAACAAGAUUUGUAGAAGAUUUGCAGUUUUGUAAAAACAAGUAACCAAUAUGUAUUAGCAAUUUAGCACUCAAAGUAAUACUUGGACACAGGAGAAUUUAUCUUAAAAUGUCGUGUAGAAAAUUUGCACCAUAUGUCGCACUGUCUGGUGUUGAAGUUGCAUCCUAGAC